rnacentral:rRNA from 1 species
UACAGAGGGUGCGAGCGUUUAAUCGGAAUUACUGGGCGUAAAGCGCGCGUAGGCGGCUUUGCAAGUCGGGUGUGAAAUCCCCAGGCUUAACCUGGGAACUGCAUUCGAGACUGCAUUGCUAGAGUAUGGGGAGAGGGUAGUGGAAUUCCCCGGUGUAGUGGUGAAAUGCGUAGAUAUCGGGGAGGAACACCAGUGGCGAAGGCGACUACCUGGCCUGUUCUUGACGCUGAGGCGCGAAAGCUAGGGGAGCAAACGGG